rnacentral:rRNA from 1 species
AUGCGAGACGGGCUACGGGCAAACCUAUCGAACAGGAUAACCUCGGCCGCCUCGCGCGAGCUCGAUGCUCUUUUCUUGUUGUUGCAGGAUGUCCAGUUGACGGUUGGCCAGGAUGAAAGGUUUUUGCUGCAUGGGCAGAGCUACUCCUCCAAAGCAGCUUACAAGAUCCUGAUGCAUGAAGACCAAGAGGACGAUCACGCUGAUCUCAUCUGGAGAUCAAGAGCGCUGCACAAACUAAAGCUGUUUGCCUGGCUCCUGUUUCGUGGCAGACUAAACACUAGAGCAAACCUGUCAUACAAGCAUAUGUCUGACUCUGCUAGUUGCCCGCGCUGUGCUGCUCCCUCUGAAGAUAACUCGCAUCUGUUCCUCGACUGCCCGCGUGCUGUUCAGACUUGGGCACAACUAGGCCUUCCCACGACGCUCAGGUUCCAGGAUCUCUGGCUGGUCCAGCUACCGCAUGAGUUGGAUUGCAGGGUGUGGCCGGAAGUGCUCCUGGUUGUGCUCUGGCGCAUCUGGGACUCCCACAACGCUGCUGUCUUCCGUUCUGAAGACCACUCUUCUCGUUUUACCACACAAAACAUUGUAACUGACUUUGAGCUCUUUUCACUCCGUCUGAGAGAUCAUGCUGACAAGGUAGCUGCUAGGUCUUGA